rnacentral:rRNA from 1 species
GACGAACGCUGGCGGCGUGCUUAACACAUGCAAGUCGAACGAUGAUGCUGGAGCUUGCUCCAGUUGAUUAGUGGCGAACGGGUGAGUAACACGUGAGCAAUCUGCCCUUGACUCUGGGAUAACUGCGGGAAACUGUAGCUAAUACCGGAUACUUUCACCGGAAGGCAUCUUUUGGUGAUGAAAGAAUUUCGGUCAGGGAUGAGCUCGCGGCCUAUCAGCUUGUUGGUGAGGUAGCGGCUCACCAAGGCGACGACGGGUGGCCGGCCUGAGAGGGUGACCGGCCACACUGGGACUGAGACACGGCCCAGACUCCUACGGGAGGCAGCAGUGGGGAAUAUUGCACAAUGGGCGCAAGCCUGAUGCAGCAACGCCGCGUGAGGGAUGACGGCCUUCGGGUUGUAAACCUCUUUUAGUAGGGAAGAAGCGAAAGUGACGGUACCUGCAGAAAAAGCACCGGCUAACUACGUGCCAGCAGCCGCCGUAA